GAUCAACGCUGGCGGCGUGCUUAACACAUGCAAGUCGAACGAAGUUUUUCCUUCGGGAGAAACUUAGUGGCGGACGGGUGAGUAACGCGUGGGUAACCUGCCCUGUACAGGGGGACAACAGCUGGAAACGGCUGCUAAUACCGCAUAAGCCCUUAGCACUGCAUGGUGCAUAGGGAAAAGGAGCAAUCCGGUACAGGAUGGACCCGCGUCUGAUUAGCCAGUUGGCAGGGUAACGGCCUACCAAAGCGACGAUCAGUAGCCGAUCUGAGAGGAUGUACGGCCACAUUGGGACUGAGACACGGCCCAGACUCCCACGGGAGGCAGCAGUGGGGAAUAUUGCACAAUGGAGGAAACUCUGAUGCAGCGACGCCGCGUGAGUGAAGAAGUAUUUCGGUAUGUAAAGCUCUAUCAGCAGGGAAGAAAAUGACGGUACCUGACUAAGAAGCACCGGCUAAAUACGUG
rnacentral:rRNA from 1 species